CACGUAGGGCGCGAGCGUUGUCCGGAAUUAUUGGGCGUAAAGAGCUCGUAGGCGGCCUGUUGCGUCCGCUGUGAAAGCCCGGGGCUUAACCCCGGGUCUGCAGUGGAUACGGGCAGACUAGAGGUAGGUAGGGGAGAAUGGAAUUCCCGGUGUAGCGGUGAAAUGCGCAGAUAUCGGGAGGAACACCGGUGGCGAAGGCGGUUCUCUGGGCCUUACCUGACGCUGAGGAGCGAAAGCGUGGGGAGCGAACAGG
rnacentral:rRNA from 1 species